GACGAACGCUGGCGGCGUGCCUAAUACAUGCAAGUUGAGCGCUGAAGGUUGGUACUUGUACCAACUGGAUGAGCAGCGAACGGGUGAGUAACGCGUGGGGAAUCUGCCUUUGAGCGGGGGACAACAUUUGGAAACGAAUGCUAAUACCGCAUAAAAACUUUAAACACAAGUUUUAAGUUUGAAAGAUGCAAUUGCAUCACUCAAAGAUGAUCCCGCGUUGUAUUAGCUAGUUGGUGAGGUAAAGGCUCACCAAGGCGAUGAUACAUAGCCGACCUGAGAGGGUGAUCGGCCACAUUGGGACUGAGACACGGCCCAAACUCCUACGGGAGGCAGCAGUAGGGAAUCUUCGGCAAUGGACGAAAGUCUGACCGAGCAAAGCCGCGUGAGUGAAGAAGGUUUUCGGAUCGUAAAACUCUGUUGGUAGAGAAGAACGUUGGUGAGAGUGGAAAGCUCAUCAAGUGACGGUAACUACACAGAAAGGGACGGCUAACUACGUG
rnacentral:rRNA from 1 species